rnacentral:tRNA from 1 species
GCCGAGGUAGCCUAGCCUGGCCAAGGCGCGCGCCUGGAAAGCGUGUGGCGUCAAGCCUCGAGGGUUCAAAUCCCUCCCUCGGCG